UAGGGAAUCUUCGGCAAUGGGGGGAACCCUGACCGAGCAACGCCGCGUGAGUGAAGAAGGUUUUCGGAUCGUAAAGCUCUGUUGUUAAGGAAGAACGAGUGUGAGAAUGGAAAGUUCAUACUGUGACGGUACUUAACCAGAAAGGGACGGCUAACUACGUGCCAGCAGCCGCGGUAAUACGUAGGUCCCGAGCGUUGUCCGGAUUUAUUGGGCGUAAAGCGAGCGCAGGCGGUUAGAAAAGUCUGAAGUGAAAGGCAGUGGCUCAACCAUUGUAGGCUUUGGAAACUGUUUAACUUGAGUGCAGAAGGGGAGAGUGGAAUUCCAUGUGUAGCGGUGAAAUGCGUAGAUAUAUGGAGGAACACCGGUGGCGAAGGCGACUUUCUGGUCUGUAACUGACGCUGAUGUGCGAAAGCGUGGGGAUCAAACAGG
rnacentral:rRNA from 1 species